UACGAAGGGGGCUAGCGUUGCUCGGAAUCACUGGGCGUAAAGCGCACGUAGGCGGAUUGCUAAGUCAGGGGUGAAAUCCUGGAGCUCAACUCCAGAACUGCCUUUGAUACUGGCAAUCUCGAGUCCGGGAGAGGUGAGUGGAACUGCGAGUGUAGAGGUGAAAUUCGUAGAUAUUCGCAAGAACACCAGUGGCGAAGGCGGCUCACUGGCCCGAUACUGACGCUGAGGUGCGAAAGCGUGGGGAGCAACAGG
rnacentral:rRNA from 1 species